GACGAACCGUGCGAACGUUGUUCGGAAUCACUGGGCUUAAAGGGCGCGUAGGCGGCCCUCCCAGUCUCGGGUGAAAUCUUUCGGCUCAACCGGAAAAGUGCCCGGGAUACUGGAGGGCUCGAGGGGGGUAGGGGCGGACGGAACUUCCGGUGGAGCGGUGAAAUGCGUUGAUAUCGGAAGGAACGCCGGUGGCGAAAGCGGUCCGCUGGGCCCUUACUGACGCUGAGGCGCGAAAGCCAGGGGAGCAAACGGG
rnacentral:rRNA from 1 species